UACGGAGGGAGCUAGCGUUGUUCGGAAUUACUGGGCGUAAAGCGCACGUAGGCGGCUAUUCAAGUCGGGGGUGAAAGCCUGUGGCUCAACCACAGAAUUGCCUUCGAUACUGGACGGCUCGAGACCGGAAGAGGUCAGUGGAACGUGCGAGUGUAGAGGUGAAAUUCGUAGAUAUUCGCAAGAACACCGGUGGCGAAGGCGGCCAACUGGACCAUUACUGACGCUGAGGCGCGAAAGCGUGGGAGC
rnacentral:rRNA from 1 species